rnacentral:rRNA from 1 species
GCCUGAAUCAGUGUGUGUGUUAGUGGAAGCGUCUGGAAAGGCGCGCGAUACAGGGUGACAGCCCCGUACACAAAAAUGCACAUACUGUGAGCUCGAUGAGUAGGGCGGGACACGUGGUAUCCUGUCUGAAUAUGGGGGGACCAUCCUCCAAGGCUAAAUACUCCUGACUGACCGAUAGUGAACCAGUACCGUGAGGGAAAGGCGAAAAGAACCCCGGCGAGGGGAGUGAAAAAGAACCUGAAACCGUGUACGUACAAGCAGUGGGAGCCUCUUAAUGGGGUGACUGCGUACCUUUUGUAUAAUGGGUCAGCGACUUAUAUUCUGUAGCAAGGUUAACCGAAUAGGGGAGCCGAAGGGAAACCGAGUCUUAACUGGGCGUUAAGUUGCAGGGUAUAGACCCGAAACCCGGUGAUCUAGCCAUGGGCAGGUUGAAGGUUGGGUAACACUAACUGGAGGACCGAACCGACUAAUGUUGAAAAAUUAGCGGAUGACUUGUGGCUGGGGGUGAAAGGCCAAUCAAACCGGGAGAUAGCUGGUUCUCCCCGAAAGCUAUUUAGGUAGCGCCUCGUGAAUUCAUCUCCGGGGGUAGAGCACUGUUUCGGCAAGGGGGUCAUCCCGACUUACCAACCCGAUGCAAACUGCGAAUACCGGAGAAUGUUAUCACGGGAGACACACGGCGGGUGCUAACGUCCGUCGUGAAGAGGGAAACAACCCAGACCGCCAGCUAAGGUCCCAAAGUCAUGGUUAAGUGGGAAACGAUGUGGGAAGGCCCAGACAGCCAGGAUGUUGGCUUAGAAGCAGCCAUCAUUUAAAGAAAGCGUAAUAGCUCACUGGUCGAGUCGGCCUGCGCGGAAGAUGUAACGGGGCUAAACCAUGCACCGAAGCUGCGGCAGCGACACUAUGUGUUGUUGGGUAGGGGAGCGUUCUGUAAGCCUGUGAAGGUGUACUGUGAGGUAUGCUGGAGGUAUCAGAAGUGCGAAUGCUGACAUAAGUAACGAUAAAGCGGGUGAAAAGCCCGCUCGCCGGAAGACCAAGGGUUCCUGUCCAACGUUAAUCGGGGCAGGGUGAGUCGACCCCUAAGGCGAGGCCGAAAGGCGUAGUCGAUGGGAAACAGGUUAAUAUUCCUGUACUUGGUGUUACUGCGAAGGGGGGACGGAGAAGGCUAUGUUGGCCGGGCGACGGUUGUCCCGGUUUAAGCGUGUAGGCUGGUUUUCCAGGCAAAUCCGGAAAAUCAAGGCUGAGGCGUGAUGACGAGGCACUACGGUGCUGAAGCAACAAAUGCCCUGCUUCCAGGAAAAGCCUCUAAGCAUCAGGUAACAUCAAAUCGUACCCCAAACCGACACAGGUGGUCAGGUAGAGAAUACCAAGGCGCUUGAGAGAACUCGGGUGAAGGAACUAGGCAAAAUGGUGCCGUAACUUCGGGAGAAGGCACGCUGAUAUGUAGGUGAAGUCCCUCGCGGAUGGAGCUGAAAUCAGUCGAAGAUACCAGCUGGCUGCAACUGUUUAUUAAAAACACAGCACUGUGCAAACACGAAAGUGGACGUAUACGGUGUGACGCCUGCCCGGUGCCGGAAGGUUAAUUGAUGGGGUUAGCGGUAACGCGAAGCUCUUGAUCGAAGCCCCGGUAAACGGCGGCCGUAACUAUAACGGUCCUAAGGUAGCGAAAUUCCUUGUCGGGUAAGUUCCGACCUGCACGAAUGGCGUAAUGAUGGCCAGGCUGUCUCCACCCGAGACUCAGUGAAAUUGAACUCGCUGUGAAGAUGCAGUGUACCCGCGGCAAGACGGAAAGACCCCGUGAACCUUUACUAUAGCUUGACACUGAACAUUGAGCCUUGAUGUGUAGGAUAGGUGGGAGGCUUUGAAGUGUGGACGCCAGUCUGCAUGGAGCCGGCCUUGAAAUACCACCCUUUAAUGUUUGAUGUUCUAACGUUGGCCCCUGAUCGGGGUUGCGGACAGUGUCUGGUGGGUAGUUUGACUGGGGCGGUCUCCUCCUAAAGAGUAACGGAGGAGCACGAAGGUUGGCUAAUCCUGGUCGGACAUCAGGAGGUUAGUGCAAUGGCAUAAGCCAGCUUGACUGCGAGCGUGACGGCGCGAGCAGGUGCGAAAGCAGGUCAUAGUGAUCCGGUGGUUCUGAAUGGAAGGGCCAUCGCUCAACGGAUAAAAGGUACUCCGGGGAUAACAGGCUGAUACCGCCCAAGAGUUCAUAUCGACGGCGGUGUUUGGCACCUCGAUGUCGGCUCAUCACAUCCUGGGGCUGAAGUAGGUCCCAAGGGUAUGGCUGUUCGCCAUUUAAAGUGGUACGCGAGCUGGGUUUAGAACGUCGUGAGACAGUUCGGUCCCUAUCUGCCGUGGGCGCUGGAGAACUGAGGGGGGCUGCUCCUAGUACGAGAGGACCGGAGUGGACGCAUCACUGGUGUUCGGGUUGUCAUGCCAAUGGCACUGCCCGGUAGCUAAAUGCGGAAGAGAUAAGUGCUGAAAGCAUCUAAGCACGAAACUUGCCCCGAGAUGAGUUCU